AUGUUGGUGCCGGUGUUAGUGCUGGUUCAGUGCAGGUGUCGGUACAGGUGUCAGUACAGGUGCCGAUGUUGGUGCCGGUGUUAGUGCUGGUUCGGUACAGGUGUCGGUACAGGUGUUAGUAGAGGUGCCGAUGUUGGUGCCGGUGUUAGUGCUGGUUCGGUGCAGGUGUCGGUACAGGUGUUAGUACAGGUGCCGAUGUUGGUGCCGGUAUUAGUGCUGGUUCGGUACAGGUGUCGGUACAGGUGUUAGUAGAGGUGCCGGUGUCAGUACAGGUGCCGAUAUUGGUGCCGGUGUUAGUGCUGGUUCGGUACAGGUGUCGGUACAGGUGUUAGUACAGGUGCCGAUGUUGGUGCCGGUGUUAGUGCUGGUUCAGUGCAGGUGUCGGUACAGGUGUCAGUACAGGUGCCG